GGAACUCUGGCGUAGGUGGUUCGCGCGGAUGUCUGAAAAACCUCAGGAACUGGUUCGAUUCCAGCGGGUUCCA
rnacentral:tRNA from 1 species